rnacentral:rRNA from 1 species
GUGUCAGCAGCCGCGGUAAUACGUAGGGGGCGAGCGUUGUCCGGAUUUAUUGGGCGUAAAACGCUUGUAGGCGGCCACGCAAAGUCGGACGUGAAAUCUCCCGGCUCAACUGGGAGGGGUCUUUCGAUACUGGCGGGCUCGAGGCAGGUAGGGGGAAGCGGAAUUCCCGGUGUAGUGGUGGAAUGCGUAGAUAUCGGGAGGAACACCAGAGGCGAAGGCGGCUUCCUGGACCUGUUCUGACGCUGAGGAGCGAAAGCGUGGGGAGCGAUCCGGAUUAGAAACCCUGGUAGUCC